GUUUCCGCCUUGACGUGGAGUUUGCGUGCGACCAAGGCAGGUGCCUUACUGCCAUAGGACUUUUGCAAAAAAGCUGUAUUGUCUAAAAAAAACAACACCCUGUACACAUAUAUAUCCCACGACAUACAUGGUAAUCACAGGUAAAUAGGAUCGACCAUUCAGUCACCCAAGUCUGCAAACAUCCUGAUGGAACGUUUCCCCUCCAUCGAAAUGCGACCGCCGCGGUCGGGA